CCGGGCGUGGUGGCGGGGCGCGCCCGGGCCCUGGCGGGGUUCGCUGGUCAUGUACGAGGGCUCCGGACGCCGCCUGCCCGGC
rnacentral:tRNA from 1 species